rnacentral:piRNA from 1 species
UNUUGGUGACCAGACCUAGGUUUAGUGUA